UUUUGCAGUUUUUUCCAUCUUCUCUGUACAGAAGUUGUUCAGUGCCCAGUGGUGAACAGAAAAGCAGUUUUCUAGAAGCCAUGAAGAAAAGGAGAAGGAGUACCUCUACUGUGCCUGCCCCUUGCAUUAAUGAAGUUACAGCUGCCUCAUCUUGGAUAAGUAUUGCAUAGUGUUAAAUUAGCCAGAUGUGAAUGAAUGGAAGUACUGAAAAGGUGAAUAUACUUAGUCCACCUGAGAACCAGAGGCAGAAUUUGCUCUGUAUUUCACACUCUGGUCCAGGCACCACUUGCCCCAGCAGCCUGGCCUCAGGCUC